GGCACUGGGAUGAACUAGCAUGCGAGUCAUUGUAGCAAUACAAGGCAGACGGCUCAGUAACGCGUAGUCAACCUAACCUAUGGACGGGAAUAACCUCGGGAAACUGAGAAUAAUGCCCGAUAGAACACUAUACCUGGAAUGGUUUGUGUUCCAAAUGAUUUAUCGCCGUAGGAUGGGACUGCGGCCUAUCAGUUUGUUGGUGAGGUAAUGGCCCACCAAGACUAUUACAGGUACGGGCUCUGAGAGGAGUAGCCCGGAGAUGGGUACUGAGACACGGACCCAGGCCCUAUGGGGCGCAGCAGGCGAGAAAACUUUGCAAUGUGCGAAAGCACGACAAGGUUAAUCCGAGUGGUUUCUGCUAAAGGAACCUUUUGUCAGUCCUAGAAACACUGAUGAAUAAGGGGUGGGCAAGUUCUGGUGUCAGCCGCCGCGGUAAAACCAGCACCUCAAGUGGUCAGGAUGAUUAUUGGGCCUAAAGCAUCCGUAGCCUGCUUUGUAAGUUUUCGGUUAAAUCCAUAUGCUCAACGUAUGGGCUGCCGGGAAUACUGCAAAGCUAGGGAGUGGGAGAGGUAGACGGUACUCGGUAGGAAGGGGUAAAAUCCUUUGAUCUAUUGAUGACCACCUGUGGCGAAGGCGGUCUACCAGAACACGUCCGACGGUGAGGGAUGAAAGCUGGGGGGGCAAACCGGAUUAGAUACCCGGGUAGUCCCAGCUGUAAACUAUGCAAACUCAGUGAUGCAUUGGCUUGUGGCCAAUGCAGUGCUGCAGGGAAGCCGUUAAGUUUGCCGCCUGGGAAGUACGUACGCAAGUAUGAAACUUAAAGGAAUUGGCGGGGGAGCACCACAAGGGGUGAAGCCUGCGGUUCAAUUGGAGUCAACGCCGGG
rnacentral:rRNA from 1 species